UGAGCCAGGUUUUGAAGGAAGUGCG
rnacentral:piRNA from 1 species